rnacentral:rRNA from 1 species
AACGAACGCUGGCGGCAUGCCUAACACAUGCAAGUCGAACGAGAUCUUCGGGUCUAGUGGCGCACGGGUGCGUAACGCGUGGGAAUCUGCCCUUUGGUUCGGAAUAACAGUUGGAAACGACUGCUAAUACCGGAUGAUGACGAAAGUCCAAAGAUUUAUCGCCAGAGGAUGAGCCCGCGUAGGAUUAGCUAGUUGGUGUGGUAAAGGCGCACCAAGGCGACGAUCCUUAGCUGGUCUGAGAGGAUGAUCAGCCACACUGGGACUGAGACACGGCCCAGACUCCUACGGGAGGCGGCAGUGGGGAAUAUCGGACAAUGGGCGAAAGCCUGAUCCAGCAAUGCCGCGUGAGUGAUGAAGGCCUUAGGGUUGUAAAGCUCUUUUACCCGGGAUGAUAAUGACAGUACCGGGAGAAUAAGCUCCGGCUAACUCCGUGCCAGCAGCCGCGGUAA